rnacentral:rRNA from 1 species
CGCACGGGUGAGUAACACGUAUCCAACCUGCCGUCUACUCUGGCCAGCCUUCUGAAAGGAAGAUUAAUCCAGGAUGGCAUCAUGAGUUCACAUGUCCGCAUGAUUAAAGGUAUUUUCCGGUAGACGAUGGGGAUGCGUUCCAUUAGAUAGUAGGCGGGGUAACGGCCCACCUAGUCAACGAUGGAUAGGGGUUCUGAGAGGAAGGUCCCCCACAUUGGAACUGAGACACGGUCCAA